UUGGGUUUAAUUUAAAAUUAAAGUAUUAAAAAGAUAAAUGAUAGAAAAUAAAGGCUAUUUUCCUUCUCGGAGAAAACACUGAAUGGCAAAUGAUGCAGGUACGCCAGCAGGGCCCAGAGGCUCCGGCCAAGGCCUUGGAGCUCACAAAGGCAAAGCCAAGGACAAAAAGUGGAUUCUGGUCACUAAGCUGGAAUGCCUGGACAAGGACAUGAAGCUCAAAUCCCUGGAGGAGAUCUAUCUCUUUUCCCUGUCUGUCAUGGAGUCUUGAGAUCAAUGGCUUUUUCUAGGGGGCACCUCUCAAGGAUGAGGCUUUGAAGAUUAUGCUGGUGCAAAAGCAGACCCACACUGGACAGUGGACCAGAUUAAAGAUGUUUAUUGCCAUCAGAGACUACACUGGCCACAUUGGUCUGGAUGUUAAGUGCCCAAAAGAGGUACUCUACUGCCAUCCCAAGGGACUGGUUAAGCUCUCCAUUGUCUCUGUGUGGACAGGUUACUAUAGGAACAAGAUUGGCAAGCCUCACACUGCCCCUUACAAGGUGACAGGUUGUUGUGGCUCUGUGCUGAUGCACCUUAUCCCUGCCCCCAGAGGCACUGGCAACAUCUUGGCCCCUGUGCCCAAGAAGCUGCUGCUGCUGCUGCUGCUGGCUGGUACUCCUACACCUCAGCAAGGGCUGUUCCACCACCCUGGGCAAAUUUGCUGAGGCCACCCUCUGAUGCCAUCUCCAAGAAGUAUAGCUAUCUGACCCCUGACAUCUGGAAAGAAACCAUAUUCACCAAGUCUCCCUACCAGGAAUUCACUGAUCAUCUCCUCAAGACCCACACCAGAGUCUCCAUGCCCAAGACCAAGGCUCUAGCUGUGGCUACAACAUAGGGUUUUUAUACAAGAAAAAUAAAGUGAAUUAAGCCUG